GUCUAAAACUACAUCUGUUUCCCUAGGUGGCCACACCUACUCUGGACAAUUGUCAGAAAUCCUGCAGGUUAGUUUUCCUGCUCUAAUGUUUGUUGGUAAUACAGAAAAAUAAGUAAAUUUUAUGUUCCAAAAAGAAAAUAUUGCUGGCCUGUGUUUUAGUUUCAGGAGCUACAGACUUUGAAUGUCUCAGAAGAUCCUUUAAAUGUUGUACACAAAGUAAAGGUUCACAUAGUCACUGCAGGAGAAACCUUUGGGGCUGACAAUGUUCUGCUGACGGACCUUGCGGGUCUACAGGUGGAGAGCACAGACCAGCAAGGAUGCAGCAUCAUCAUUCUUUUCUGUCCAAUCAGCUCUUGUGUUGGGUCAGACAUGAAGGCAGCUAUGAAGAAGGUGUCAGGUGACAAACCAGUCAUUCUGGUUCUGAUGCACCACACACGAAAUCCUGACUACUCAACAUGUGGGGAAAGCCAGUGUUCAGUCUAUCAGAACGUUGUCCUGGUUGUCCAUGUUCUCUUCCAUGAAAGUGUGAAAGGACUACUGAGAAGUUCAAAAAACAGUGAGGCAGUCCGACAGAUACACUAUAAACUACUGCAGUACAGUAGCAUUAGCAGGCUCAGAAAUGACCAGGGGACCCAGGAUAUGAGCCAAUCGUCAUGAAGAACUGUGGAAGAAGCUCAUGAAG
rnacentral:lncRNA from 1 species